rnacentral:piRNA from 1 species
UAAUAAUUUCACUCAAAAAGA